GAGCACGCUGCGGGCGGGGCGGGCUCCGUGCCCCGAGGAAGAUAAGAAACCGCCCGGGAUGCGGGGGCGGGGCCGGGCCUCCGCCCCGCCCCCUGGGAAACUCGCUGUCGGGCGGUGACCUGCAGCACGUGCGGCGCGGGCGCCUCCCCCCGCCCACAGGGCCGACGUGCUCGCUCCGCCGCAGGUGAGCCGGGCCCUCCCGCGGGCUCUCGUGCCCUGCCCCGGCGGGAUCCUUAACCCCGCGGAGUGGUCGGUCACUGCGGGGCCGUCCCGCACCAAUCAAACGAGGUGGAGAGAGGAGAGACCUGGCCCGGCCCCGUGGGGCGGCAGCAGGAACCGACCCCCCCGUUGAGCUCGCCCGUACACGCUAGGGCGAAGGGGCCUCCCGGCAGAGCCGCACAUGCACAUUGAACAGAAACCUGGCUGUGGCAGUGCCCUUUCCAUCCGCUUCCUACCGUCACCCCGAGCGCUCGCUCGGCCUUAGCACAGCUGGAAGGAAGAGCCUGGCACUACGGUCUCGCGAGCCGACAGAGAAGCACCGAGGUGGCGUUGAAGGGGAAGAGGAGCAGGAUACUACCAUGACUGGCUAUGACAGAUUCUUCCCAGAGAGGACCUCAGUCCAGAGAACCUGUUUUUAUUACAUGAAGAUUGACAAUUAUACAAUUAUUUACCAAUAAAAGUGUUCUUUACAGGCUUUUAAAUGUCUAUUCAUUUAAAUUUGAAAUUAGUGGUUUAUAUAGCAUUGCACACUUUAAAAAUCAAUGUAUAAAUGCUUCUUAUUGCUAAAAUGGGUUUCAACAUGCCUCUUGCCAUUCUGUCUGGGUAGUUCUGGAUGUACAUUUUAGAUACAUUAUUCUUUUCACUUGAACAAGCUGCAUUUCAUUAGCUCAUAUUUGAAUAUAAACACCACCAAUUUUAGACUGGAGGCUGCAUGGCAUCAACAUUCCACAUGCAAAGCAACGACUUAGGUAUUGUAUAGGAAUGUAAUUCAGCAAAGAAACUCUUACAGAGUGAUUUUAUUCCAUUUCAAAUAGGAUAAGUAUAACUAAAUCAAAGUCGGCUUACAUCUCAACUGAGAAAGCUAUUUACCCAAAAGAUUAUAAAUAAAAAAAUCCUACAAUGAA